rnacentral:rRNA from 1 species
CAGCAGCCGCGGGAAUACGAAGGGGGCUAGCGUUGCUCGGAAUGACUGGGCGUAAAGGGCGCGUAGGCGGCGAUCAAAGUCAGGCGUGAAAUUCCUGGGCUCAACCUGGGGGCUGCGCUUGAUACUUGGUUGCUUGAGUGGGGAAGAGGGUCGUGGAAUUCCCAGUGUAGAGGUGAAAUUCGUAGAUAUUGGGAAGAACACCGGUGGCGAAGGCGGCGACCUGGUCCUUGACUGACGCUGAGGCGCGAAAGCGUGGGGAGCAAACAGGAUUAGAUACCCCUGUAGUCCCUGUCUCUUAACA